GUCGGCCCGAGCUGGCGCAGGCGCAGUGGCUGGUGCCGGUUGCUCCAGGCGGCGUCAGGGUGAGGUGGCGGUCAGGGCUUCGGAUGCGGCUUCCUGGGUCUUCCGUGCGCUGUUCUCCAGGGUCAGAAUUCGGCAGGAAGAAAAGAAGGGGCGGGCCAAGUGGGAAAAAAGGGCGAGCUCACGUGGUUGUACUGCUGGCUUCUACUUCUGUUUCAGGCUGACUUCUUUGUAAGCAUAAUCCUCGGACAAAUACGAAGCAGUUGUUUAAAAAGAAAAGACCGGGGAGCAAAGUAUUGGAUUCUAGUUCUGGCUCUGAAACAACGUUUUAUGGUCUUUGGUAAGUCUGGAUCUUAGUUUCCUCCAAAAUAAAAUGAGAGGGGAUGCAUUAAAUUUGCUCUCGUUCUGUCAUUACAUGCAUGAAUCUGUGAUGUUUUCUGGUAGAGCAUAAGGAGAAGGAAAUGGUACAUUCUCUGUGAGCCACUUUAAACCAAGAAGUUAUAUCUUUGUAGCCUUAGUACUUUAUUACAAUGUCUAUCAGUAACCACUGAUGAAAUUUGUGUUUGGGAUCCCAAAGACCCAGAUUUGAAUACAGUUACUGGUACUGACUUUUGGUAACUGAGCAAAUAGGAUUCAAAGCACCUUCAGAUCCUCCUCUGCAAAAAACCUAGAAGGAGAUUUACAACAACCUUACACCUCUUCAGAAUUAAUGACUAUGGGAAAACAUCCAGUUGUGCAGACUAAAGAACUGUGUUGGUUUCAAGAUCCUGGAUUAUCCCAGUUUACUAAAACUCACUUCUUAGGCAGAUGCAGGAUGAACAUGUAUUGCUUGCCCUAAUCUUAGACAAAAGCCAUCUAGAAUAGACUGUGAUUCUUUCAUCUGCUUUACUUUGUGAUGAGAUUGUCCUGAAACCUUUAGCCUGGUACGGUGAUUCCUUCUGGCUAAUACAAUUAUCAAACAGGUCUUGCUGCCUUACUUGGCAAGAAACCAGUUUAAGAGCCCACUUGUUUCCUUUCUACAAACCAGGUUGGAGGCAAGUGUCUCAUUCUGGCAGCUGAAAUCCAGCAGAAAUCCUUAGAGAACCAUAUCAUAAAGCCUCAUUCUCUUUUAGCUGAUUAAAAAAAGAAGGGAUGCCUUGGUAGCUCAGUGGUUGAGAGCCUGCCUUCGGCCCAGGGUGUGAUACUGGAGUCACGGGAUCGAGUCCCACAUCCAGCUACUGUGGAAAGCCUGCUUCUCCCUCUGCCUGUGUCUCCACCUCUCUCUGUGUGUCUCUCAUGAAUAAAUAAAAUCUUUAAAACAAAACAAAGAAUAUAAAUGUACAGCCCACAUACCUGGUGUGUUAUGAUCCCUUUAUUCCUUAGUCAAUAAAAAAUUCAUUCAUACUAUUGCUCAUCUUUAAAAAAUAUAUAUCAGAACGUUUCAGAGACAUUUAACCAUUUGUAAUUAUAAAUUAAGUCAUUUUCUUUUCCCCUCACCCUCUACAUUAGUGAGAUUCUGGGUUGGCACUCCAAAGACCGUUCUGGCCUACAUAUUUCCUGGGCCAUUUCUUCUACCUGGUGAGAUAAAAAGCAAGUAAAGGCAGUUUCCCUAUCAAGAGCGGUUGCUGCUUUGAAAAAGUCCUUAGGGUCAAAUCUCUGGCAACCUGACUCUGAAGCCUGCCCAGUUCAGAGAGGGUCUGGGAGAAAGAGUCAGUUUGCUGCCCUCUACAGGCUGCACUCAGUGAGCUUCGAUUGUUUAGAGGAAGAAUGGAGGAGUCCUUAAGUAUCUGAAAAGAAAUGAAACAGGUUAAUGCUGAGUAAGCCGAGAGUGGGUAAUGAUGGUGAACAUCAGCCAACCACUGAAAAAACCACAGCAUUUAGGGCAUGUAAGGAUGGUCAACGUAUCUUGUUAAAUGAAAAUGGGAUGCGCUAAAAUAUGCAUAGCUUGAUUUGAUUUUUGUAAAAACAUUUAGUUAUACCAGAAUGUUAAGUUUCGGUUAUCCUGGUGGUGAAAUAACGGGUAAUUUGUAUUAUAUUCUUUUUACUUAUCUGUAUCAUCUAAACAUUCUACAAUAAAUAUGUAUUAUUCUAGUAAUAACCUAGUUUAAAAAGUGUGUAUGUUGGGGCACCUAAGUGGCUCAGUUGGUUGAGCCUCCAACUAUUGAUCUUGGCUCAGGUCUUAUCUCAAGGUUGUGGGCACGCUAAGCAUGGAGCCUACUACUUUAAAAAAAGUGUGUGCAAAGGGGGCUUCUUUGGUGCUAGUCUAGUAGUAUUCUGUUCCUUCAUCAAGAUGCUAUGUGUCUUCAUCAAGCUGUCCACUUAUAGUACAUGCACUUCUCUGCAUGUAUAGUAUACUUCAAUUUAAAAUUGUUCUUAAAGAGUGGUUGUACAGGAACUUUCAUUCAUUGGUGGGAAUCCAAAAUGAUACAGCCACUUUGGAAGGCAGUUUAGCAGCUGCAUACAAAACUAAACAUAGUUUUAUCGUGCAAUUCAUCCAUCUUGCUCUUUGGUACCUACCCAAAUGAAUUGAAAACUUAGGCCCACAUAAGUUCUCUACUCCUCAAAAACACACACACGUUUACAGCAACUUAAUAAUUGCCAAAGACUUGGAAACAACCAAGAUGUCAGGAGGUGAAUGAUAAAUACUGUGUGAGUGUACAGGGCAAAGGAGACUAUGGGAACACUCUGUACUUUCUGCUCAGUUUUAGUGUGAACCUAAAACUCUUCUAAAAAUUAAAGUCUCUUUUUAAAAACUGGUUGUACGUCUCUUGGAAUAUACUAAAAACUAUUGAAUUGUACAUAUUAAAUAAGUAAACUGUAUGGUUUGUGAACUCUAUAUCUCAAUAAAGCUUUUUAAGUGGUUAUAUUCAUAAAGUAGAUAAAAAGUACCAACACAUGCUACAAUAUGGAUGAAUCUUGAAAUUACACCAAGUGGAGCAGCCAGGCACAAAAGGCCACAUAUUACAUGAAAUGUCUAGAAUAGGCAGAAAUAGAGUAGUUGUUGGCAGGGACUGGGGAGUGGUGGUGGGGAUGGGGAAUGGGGAGUGACUGCUAAUGGGUAUAAGGUUUCUUCUUGGGAUGAUGAAAAUAUUCUGGAAUUAGUGGUGAAAAUGUACAAUUUUCUGAGUGUACUAUAAAGCAACUUAAUUGUAUACUUCAAAAGGGUGGAGUUAUGUCUCAAUAAAGCUGAGUGUGGAGCCUACUUAAA